rnacentral:lncRNA from 1 species
CCCAAAUGAAGCCAACUAAAAUAAGACUGAAUUUCAAUCUAUUUUGCACAGUUGGGCGCAGGUGAACUUUAUCAAUAAAAUGGGAGGAAAGCACUAUUAGAUACCAUCAUGCCUCUCAUUUUCAGAAGGCUGAAUGUUUGUUUGCUACAGAACCAUGGAUCUUACCUCAACAGAGGCCUGGACUUCAAACCCUGAACUUAUAUCCUGGACCCCAAAGAUGUUCUGUUGAAUCAUCUGAGAAGGUGAUCACUACAUCACCGUUUGAUCAACUUUCACGGGGAUAUCGGACAAUCCAAUGGAGUUGCUGCAGAUUGCACACUGGAGACAUGGCGAUAGACACAUCCUGCACUGAGAGAAUUUGGUGUCUCCUCCCUGCUUGGGAUUUUAAAGCAAUAUGGAUGUGGGGACUGUCAAGCACCCAGGACAAGAUCAAGGAAUCCAUCUCUACCAUCUCUGGCUCUCAGCCAGAGAACAAACCUGGUGUUGGGAGUACAUGGGCAUCCAUUUAGUUUUUAGCUCCUAACUGAAAAAUUCCAUUGUCAUUUGAACUCUUUCUGUGUUAAGUCAUAUUAUGCAGUGAUUUAUCCUCUUAAUUACUUGAUACAUUUUUUAAAAGCUACCACAUCCUAAUUUUUCAUUCCCUUUUUUGAGUUUUUCUUAACUUUCCUAUCCUAUUUUUAAAAUAUCAUUCUGAUUUACUUAGAGUUUUCUGUUUUAUUUUUUCACGUUUAUUUAUUUAUUUUGAGGGGGGAGGAGCAGAGAAAGAGAGAAUCCAAUAGGCUCCUUGAUGUCAGUGCAGAGAUCUACGCAGGGCUCAAUCCCACAAAUUGCGAGAUCAUGACCUGAGCUAAAAUCAAGAGUAGGAUGCUUAACUGACUGAGCCACCCAGGUACACCAAAAGCUUUCUGUUUUAAGGUAAUGAUAAUAUUUAUUGAUGUCUAGUCCUUACUCCAAAUCGUGUUUUAUUUUCUCUUUAAUUUUACUUAUUUUAUUUAAUUAAUUUAUUAUUUAUUUAUUAUUGAUUUAAU